UACGUAGGGCGCAAGCGUUGUCCGGAAUUAUUGGGCGUAAAGAGCUCGUAGGCGGCUUGUCACGUCGGAUGUGAAAGCCCGGGGCUUAACCCCGGGUCUGCAUUCGAUACGGGCAGGCUAGAGUGUGGUAGGGGAGAUCGGAAUUCCUGGUGUAGAGGUGAAAUUCGUAGAUAUCGAGAGGAACACCGGCGGCGAAGGCGGCCAACUGGACGAGUACUGACGCUGAGACACGAAAGCGUGGGGAGCGAACAGG
rnacentral:rRNA from 1 species